AGCGCCGUAACCACAGGGCGGGCACUGCUGUGGAUGAGAGCAGGGGGCACAUGACUGAUCACGUUCUUCGUGUCUCCAAAGCAGCAACUUCUCAGCACACCUGUUUUUCACGAAAAGAAUAUGAGUGACGAGACGGUGUUUAUGGAUGCGGGGGAGCGGCUCUACGUCCUGUAUGGUUCUGAGACAGGCAACGCAGAGAGCAUCGCGAAACGUCUGCACCACGAUGCGACAAACAACCACGGCUUCCCCGACGCCGCGUGCAUGACACUGAACCAGGCGGUAUCGAUGAAGCUCUUCGACGCGCAGCUCGCCGAAGACGCGCCCGCCUCGCUAUGCGUCGUUAUCGUGUGCAGUACCACGGGUGAGGGCGAGCCACCUCAAAACGCUGCCCGGUUUCGCCGAUGGCUGCGUAACGCCGCCGGGACUCUUCACAAACUUCGCUACUGCCUUCUGGCCCUUGGCGACACAAACUACAACAGCUUCUGCGCCCCAGGCAUCUUUAUGGACAACAAGCUUAGAGACAUGGGCGCCGUCUGCUGCUACCCGCGCGGCGAAGCUGAUGACAGCGUUGGCUUGCACCUCGUCGUGAACCCGUGGCUAGAGGGUCUCUGGUCGGCGUUGAAGCAGAGCGGCACGGAGGGGAUCGCAGCUACGGGCCAGGAAACGUGCGCUACAGAGGAUAUCCGCAUCGACAUGUCUGUCGCUCAGGAGGCCGCCCUCCUUUACUCUCACUCUUCUCCGUUGUGUGCUGCAACCGCACUUUUCCUGCACGAGCGGAUCACCGAACUUGGCGGCAAGGCGGAUUUGUACCCGAUUCAACACUUCAACCCCACCACAAGCCUCAGACGACCCCCAACGGUGCUCUUCUUCGUCCUCGGCACAGAAGGCGAUGCGGACGCGCAGUGCGAGCAGUGCGCCUGCGCUGCUCAGCAGCUACCACCUCUUGGACCUUUAAGCGCUUGGAUAGGCAACAGCGACCCUUGUACUCCACCGCCGGCAGAAGCGGUGGAACUGCACCGGUGGAUGUCCGACCCGUCAAUCCGCUUCUUCAACUCUUUGUUCGUCUCGCGGAAGCCUGACGGUGCAAGUCGAGCUGCCGCGCUCGACGCCGAUCUGAAAGCCCUAGCGACAAACUGCAAACUCGAAUACCUUUGCCGUUGCCAGCUCUCGGGCGAGGUGCCGUCGGUCGCGAUUAGCGCAGAUGACGUGUUCCUGUGGGUGGAGAAGGUGCUGCAUAGUCUUCCAGGGGUGACAGCCGAUACGGUGUACAUUCGUCGGACCAUGGACGACUCUUUCGACACCCGCGUUGGCGCGGCUUUCCGUGCUGCACAUGCGCCGGGGUUACGCAGUGGAAGCGCCACAGAAAGCGACUAUGUUGCCAGGGGUGGCAGCGCGCCAACGCUCAUCGGGCAACGGCUUUACCGAGUCGGCCUCGAGGACGAUUGCGGCCGCGGCGACGCGGGGCAUGCGUCCUCCGAAAACGGCGGCUCUCACGGCGCGGGCGCGUCGAGAAAGACGCACGAGGUAGUAGACGACCUGCUCACCCCCAUCGUCUUUCUCUACUCGGGCCACUCCUCUUUUGUGAAGCAGUGCGCCAUGAACAUUUUCAGCGGCGCCGGCCAGCAUCACCUGCGCUGUUCGAUUAGUGAGCUCAGCAACUUUCAACGAAUGGGCUUCCCGAGGCAUGCCACGUUUGUGUUCAUUGUCUCUGGUGUACUGACAGAACCAAUGUCGCGCGUGCUGAAGGUGCUGCGCACACUGCAGAGCCAGAAGAAGGAUAUCGAAGGUGUGAGCUUCGCCAUCCUGGGCAUUGGCAAGACCUCCGAGAGUGGCCCGUUCAACGCCUGUGCGCUGGAGCUGGAGACGCUCCUGCUGAAGGUGAAGGCAAACAAGAUUCAUUGCACAGGUUUGGCAGACGUGGACAGCAGCAGCCUCGUGCCCAUCGUUCAGUCGUGGGAGUCGAGCCUCUGGGGUGCCAUCGUGCGCCCCAUGAAGAGUACCGCCUACCUUGACAUUGCAUCUCCCGGCAUCCAAGUGCAGCGUAGCGUGGCGCCGUUGGCCACCAGCGGUAGUUCAGUUGGCGCAGCUCUCUGCCUUGCUGGCGCGUUGGUGGGCGAGUCUGUGAUUCGCGAUGCUGGUGGUAAUGGUGGCGUUGGUGGCGGCAACGAUCUUGUCGAACACAGCAAAUUCGGGGACUUUCUGAGCGCCAGCGCCAGUCCGUCUCUGCUUCCUCUGCCAGGCGGCGUCGGUCCGAGCAGGGGUGCUGACCUGCAGGGAUCGUCGCUGGUUACUGUGCCGGGGUCAUCGCUGCCAGGCAACUCCAGCACUCCCACAACGGUUGCGGCCGGCGCUACGCCGGGCUCUGACAAGACGGACGCCUCGGCCGCUGGCGCUGGCUUGGCCGAUGCCCUCUCUCCGUGGGACACGACGCCGCUGCACAGGGAGAAGGCGCGUCACACCCCAGUCGUCUUCUUGUACGCGUCGGCUGGUAUGUCGAAGGCGAUCGCAAUGCACGCGAUGCGGAGCGCCGAAGAGAAGGGUUUUCCGACUGCCGUGCACCCCUUUGCGCACUUUCAGUUUGUCGACUACCACGCCCACCCGAACGUGAUGCUGUUCUGUGAAGCAGGCGCGGAGGGGCAGGCGAACGGCGGGCGCCGUUUCAGGAAGUUCCUGACGAAUCCCUCGCACCACCCGGGCACGCUGUCGUCUGUGCGAUUUGCGGUGCUCGGCCUCUGCGCCACACCGGCGGACGUGGUUCAUCCUGCCUUUUGCUGGGCAAAAUUACUGUUGCGGCUGCAGGCGAAUCGCAUCUUUCCAGUUCUCAUCAUGCCGUCCAUAUCGCAGCUGCACUCGCUUGGCAUGCCGUGGAUUAACUGCGUGCUGUCAUCCCUGGCGCUGCUGCCGUCUUCUGUAGUGGUCCCUUCACCUCCGAGAGGCCCCAACGCCCCUGGUGCCGGUGAGCUAACCAUUGGGCCGUCCCGUGUGGGCACCGCUGCUGCGCCGAGGGCACGCGAUGACGACGCGGACAACGAUGCCGUGGAAGAGGCAGCAGAUGCCGGCGAGGAGGUGCAGCGCUCCGUGUCGGCCGACAUGGGCAGCUGCGGCGCCGAUGUCUCGACAGAGCAGGACUCGUGCACCGAGUGGUCGAUGGAGAACAGGAUUGCCUACCGGGUCGACGGUGUCGUGCAGUCGUGGAAGCUGCUAACCUGCCCCACGGUUCGGCAUCCUGUCGUCCAGCUGGAUUUUUCGGUGAGCGUGGGAACACAGUGGGCACCAGGGCAGACCAUCGCCGUCGUUCCAUCCAACAGCACAGCGCAGGUGGAAGCGCUGCUGCGCCUCUUCCACCUGACGCGUGAUGAGCCGUUUCUGCCGCCCGCCAUCGCUGGCCCCGGUGUCUCCGUGUUCCCGACCUCCCCGCUCUACGAGGCCGUGGAUUUUCCGGUCAGCUGCGGGACGGUGCUCAUGCGAUACGUGGAGCUGCGCGUCACUGGCAUUCACAAGCCGCUUUUCGAGUUGUUGGCGCGUCCCUGCGCCUCUGAGGAGGCGAAGGCGGCGGUGCAAACGAUGUAUGCGGAGCUCCUUGCCGACCGCACCCCGCGAGACUUGUGUGAGGUGCUUGAGGCCGUCGGUGCCGCUGCCCACUCUCUACCGCCGUUUCGCCACAUUGUGGAGAACCUUUCCUUGCUGCAGCCACGUCAGUACUCUAUCUGCAGCUCCCACCGUGCCGAUGCCACGACGCUGUCCAUCUGCUUCAAGGUGGUAGAGAAGGGCCUGUGCACGCGAUGGAUGUAUGAGCAAUGCCUGUCUGCCGCCGGGUUGCCGCUGGUGUCUGUCGCCAGCGCGGCCCCGACGCACGCGGAAGGGUGCACAGCGCCCUCGGCUGUGCGGCAGCCGGUCCUUUCGAACACAGCCAUCGUUGCCAAGGUGCGCGUCGUGAUCCCUUUUGAGAUCCGCAGCGCCUCGGUGUUUCGCAUGCCGCGCGACCCGCUCGUGCCAAUGAUCCUCGUCGGGUCCGGCACCGGCAUCGCCCCGUUCCGCGCGUUUCUGCAAGAGCGCGAAGCCUGUUUGACGGAGCGCCAGUUGCCAUCCGGCUGCACUUGUCCAAAAGGGAAGCUCUGCGGAUGCUCUUGCGAGAAGGCGACGCGCCAUGGCCAGGCCGUGUGCGGCACGAUCAACGUCUUCUUUGGCUGUCGACGCCGUUACGAGGAUUACCUCUUUCGCGACGAGUUGUCGCACUGGAAGGACAGCGGCGUGGUUCAUUCGCUGGCCGUCGCCUUUUCCCGUGACACGAAUGACGGCAGGUUCUAUGGCGGCGGCUGCUACGUGCAGGACAAGAUUCAGGAGUGUGGAGUGGCCCUCAUGGACCUGAUCCUGCAGCGGAACGCAUAUGUUUUCGUCUGUGGUGACGCCGAUGGCAUGGCGAAGGAGGUGCACAGAACGCUCCGCCAGCUCAUCCAGCAACACCUGACACUCUCCGACGCCGCGGCUGCCACGUAUCUCGAGCGAAUGAGCAAGGAUGGGAGGUACCUCCGUGAAGUGUGGUCGACGGGUGUAUGAGAGCGAGUGCCCGCACGCAGCGGACGGUUUAUCGUACGAAACCGCGUCGAAACAGGAACUAGCUCACCUUUUUUUGUGUGCAUUGCGCGCCUUGUCGCUUCUUCUUCCUCGGCUUCUCCGUCGUUACCCCUCCCCUACACGUGACGGUAACGUCAACGUGGGUUGAGGUGCGCCACGUAGUACCGCCCCUGCUUCCCCUUCUUUUGUUCAUUGGUCUUUCGAUAUCUGGUAACCGACCGAUGUGUUAAACGUCGUCCGAGAGUACUUCGUUUUUUCCGAGGGUUCACCUCUGCGUGUCGACACUUCUCUUUGUUUGCGUGGUGGCGCGUGCAAGGCAGCCCACUCAUGCGGAGCACCGACGGCUCUCCCUCACACCACCCCGAAAACAAAAGAG
rnacentral:misc_RNA from 1 species